rnacentral:rRNA from 1 species
GUGCCAGCCGCCGCGGUAAUACAGAGGGUGCUAACGUUGUUCGGAAUCACUGGGCAUAAAGCGCACGUAGGCGGCCCGUCAAGUGCGGUGUGAAAUCCCACGGCUUACCCGUGGAAAUGCGCUGCAGACUGACGGGCUCGAGGACGGUAGGGGAGAGCGGAACUCCUGGUGGAGCGGUGAAAUGCGUAGAUAUCAGGAGGAACACCGGUGGCGAAGGCGGCUCUCUGGUCCGUUUCUGACGCUGAGGUGCGAAAGCCAGGGGAGCAAACGGGAUUAGAUACCCCCGUAGUCC